UUGUCUAAGUAAGGAUUACUCCUAUUGGUCCCAUUGCAGGAUCAGCAGACCCCCUGUUGUCGCUACACAAAGCUUCUCGUGUCCAGCAGACGAGAUCACACGACGAGAGCGGCAGAGGCCAGGGAUAUAGGCACCCCAGCUUCCGGAGACAACGGUCUAGAUCUAGAAGCGGAAGGUCGGAUCCGGGUGUGCGGGGCAGAACGGAGACUAGGGUCGGCAGAAGUCGCAGUCGGAGUCGGAGUCGACGGCGUUACAGCACAAAACGUGAUUCCACACCCCAGCCACCGACCCAACCUCCUGUGAAAGUGUACACAGAAGAAAAUCAUGGCGGGAACACAAGAACUGAACAGAAAGAGGAAAGUGAAAACUCUGAGCCAAGAACUUUUUUUGGAAGCAUCAAUGCCCUUUUCCUUCGCAUGCGGCUUGCACUGGCAGAAAGUGUGUUUGGAGCGUUCUUCACCUCAACGAGUGACGAUAAGAACAAAGACGACGGAGGAGACGACAGCAAGGCUGAGAAGAAGUGAG